GACGUAGGGCGCGAGCGUUGUCCGGAUUUAUUGGGCGUAAAGAGCUCGUAGGCGGUGUGUCACGUCGGCCGUGAAAACCUGGGGCUUAACUCUGGGCGUGCGGUCGAUACGGGCAUCACUAGAGUUCGGCAGGGGAGACUGGAAUUCCUGGUGUAGCGGUGAAAUGCGCAGAUAUCAGGAGGAACACCGGUGGCGAAGGCGGUCUGCUGGGCCGUUGCUGACGCUGAGGCGCGACAGCGUGGGGAGCAAACAGG
rnacentral:rRNA from 1 species